GGCGCGCACGCAGCCGCGGGCACACGCACAGACAGAGAUACAGACCCACAGACACACGGAGAUACACAUCCAUGGAUACACAGAGAUACGAACGGCCCGCGGCCUGCCCGGACACACCGCCGAGCUCGGCUGCCCGCCCCGGUGCCCCCGAGACAGCCCCGAGGGCUCUGCGGCUCGGUGCCGCCAGCCGCGGGCGGCACGCUCCGUGACCAGGAACGUCUCUCGUUGCAGGACGAAGAGCGGGAGCGCCUGAAUGCAGCGUUCGCUUCGACUGUGAAGCUGAUGAGAGGAGUCUCAAAGGAAUGCCAGAAGUACUAUGGUGCUGUGGCAGCCAACAAGUGCAAAGAGAAUGAAAUCAAACACUUCUGCAAAUACCAUGGCAAGUCAGCAGAAAGAAAGACAGACUCCACAGAAGAAGAGAGGACUGAAGGUUCCGUAGAACCCCGCCAAGCUCAAACUUGCUGUCAAAGACCCAGAAGACCUUCCAAAGACUUCUACAUUGAAGUUUCUCCUGGUGUCUAUUCUGUCACAGCAAUCUCAGAAGACAUGGUGGAACAAACCCACGUAGUAGAUGUCAAUGCAGGACAAAGUAUUGAUUUAACUUUUGUUCUGUGAUAUUUGUUGUCUCCUGGCAAUAGCAGGAAUAAAACACGAGGCUCAUUUUAAUGCA
rnacentral:lncRNA from 1 species